AAUCAACGUUGGCGGCGCGCUUAACACAUAGCAAGUCGAACGAGAAAGGGGAGCAAUCCCCAAGUAAAGUGGCGUCCGGGUGAGUAACACGUGGAUAAUCUACCUUCUGGUGGGGAAUAACCCUGGGAAACCGGGGCUAAUACCGCAUAAGUCCGAGAGGAGAAAGGCGCAAGUCGCCGGAAGAGGAGUCCGCGGUCGAUUAGCUAGUUGGUAGGGUAAAGGCCUACCAAGGCAUUGAUCGAUAGCCGGCCUGAGAGGGCACACGGCCACACUGGCACUGAAACACGGGCCAGACUCCUACGGGAGGCAGCAGUGGGGGAAUCUUGCACAAUGGGGGAAACCCUGAUGCAGCGACGCCGCGUGAGUGAUGAAGCCCUUGGGGUGUAAAGCUCUUCGACAGGGACGAUAAUGACGGUACCUGGAGAAGAAGACUGCGGGCUAACUACGUGCCAGCAGCCGCGGUAAU
rnacentral:rRNA from 1 species